rnacentral:lncRNA from 1 species
AAAAAGUAGCUCCGUGAAAUCCGUAAAGCAAGAUCAGCUUUGAUAAAAAUAAUACUUGAAAACGCCGAAAGUGCCGACAGGCAUUAUCAGAGGCCACGUGAAGUUUUGGACUCUGGGAAAGAAAAAGAUAAUAUGGGGAUCUGAGAUAAUAUUGGGAUCCUGGAAACUGUAGCCAUAUUUCCUCCUAUAGAUAUUGCCUUUGCAAAACUUGAUUGGAGCAACUGCGUUUCAUCUUGCUCCUUUCCUGUUAUAAUAAUUGCGCACAUUCUUAAAAUUUGCACCUGUGGUUUUUACGUCUUUUC